AUUGAACGCUGGCGGCAUGCUUUACACAUGCAAGUCGAACGGUAACAGGGAGCUUGGCUCCGCUGACGAGUGGCGAACGGGUGAGUAAUGCAUCGGAACGUACCGUGUAAUGGGGGAUAACGUAGCGAAAGUUACGCUAAUACCGCAUACGCCCUGAGGGGGAAAGUGGGGGACCGCAAGGCCUCACGUUAUACGAGCGGCCGAUGUCGGAUUGGCUAGUUGGUGGGGUAAAGGCCUACCAAGGCGACGAUCCGUAGCGGGUCUGAGAGGAUGAUCCGCCACACUGGGACUGAGACACGGCCCAGACUCCUACGGGAGGCAGCAGUGGGGAAGUUUUGGACAAUGGGCGCGAAGCCUGAUCCAGCCAUGCCGCGUGAGUGAAGAAGGCCUCGGUUGUAAGU
rnacentral:rRNA from 1 species